AACGCACAUUGCGCCCUCUGGUAUUCCGGGGGGCAUGCCUGUUCGAGCGUCAUUACAACCCUCAAGCACUGCUUGGUGUUGGGUGUUCACUUUUUGUGCACCUUAAAAUCAGUGGCGAUGCCCUGCAGCUUCAAGUGUAGUAAAUUUCUCGCUAUGGAGCCUUGUUAGGAACACUGCCAACAACCUUCUAUUUUAUCUAAGGUUGACCUCGGAUCAGGUAGGGAUACCCGCUGAACUUAA
rnacentral:misc_RNA from 1 species